rnacentral:rRNA from 1 species
CCUACGGGAGGCAGCAGUGGGGAAUAUUGGGCAAUGGAGGCAACUCUGACCCAGCAACGCCGCGUGAGCGAUGAAGGUCUUCGGAUUGUAAAGCUCUAUCAGCAGGGAAGAAAAUGACGGUACCUGACUAAGAAGCCCCUGCUAACUACGUGCCAGCAGCCGCGGUAAUACGUAGGGGGCAAGCGUUAUCCGGAUUUACUGGGGGUAACGGGAGCGUAGACGGCUAAUCAAGUCAGAAGGGAAAACCCAGGGCUCAAAGUUGGGACUGCUUUUGAAACUGAGUAUCUAGAGUGCAGGAGAGGUAAGCGGAAUGCGUAGUGUAGCGGUGAAAUGCGUAGAUAUUAGGAAGAACACCAGUGGCGAAGGCGGCUUACUGGACUGUAACUGACGUUGAGGCUCGAAAGCGUGGGGAGCAAACAGGAUUAGAUACCCUUGUAGUC